rnacentral:rRNA from 1 species
AAUUUGACCUCGGAUCAGGUAGGAAUACCCGCUGAACUUAAGCAUAUCAAUAAGCGGAGGAAAAGAAACCAACAGGGAUUGCCCUAGUAACGGCGAGUGAAGCGGCAACAGCUCAAAUUUGAAAUCUGCCUCGGCCCGAGUUGUAAUUUGCAGAGGAUGCUUCUGGCCGGGUGCCUUCCGAGUUCCCUGGACGGGACGCCACAGAGGGUGAGAGCCCCGUAUGGUCUGGACACCAAGCCUGUGUGAAGC